AGUGAACGCUGGCGGUAGGCCUAACACAUGCAAGUCGAACGGCAGCACAGUAAGAGCUUUCUCUUACUGGUGGCGACUGGCGGACGGGUGAGGAAUACAUCGGAAUCUACUUUUUCUUGGGGGAUAACGUAGGGAAACUUCCGCUAAUACCGCAUACUACCUACGGCUGAAAUCAGGGGAUCUUCGGACCUUGCCCGAUUGUAUUAGCCGAUGUCGGAUUAGCUAGUUGGCUGGGUAAGGGCCCACCAAGGCGACGAUCCGUAGCUGGUCUGAGAGGAUGAUCAGCCACACUGGAACUGAGACACGGUCCAGACUCCUACGGGAGGCAGCAGUGGGGAAUAUUGGACAAUGGGCGCAAGCCUGAUCCAGCAAUACCGCGUGAGUGAAGAAGGCCUUCGGGUUGUAAAGCUCUGUUGUUGGGAAAGAAAAGAAGCAGGUUAAUACCUCGAUGUUCUGACGGUACCCAAAGAAUAAGCACCGGCUAACUUCGUG
rnacentral:rRNA from 1 species